rnacentral:rRNA from 1 species
GGAUGAACGCUGGCGGCGUGCUUAACACAUGCAAGUCGAACGAUGAAGCCCAGCUUGCUGGGUGGAUUAGUGGCGAACGGGUGAGUAACACGUGAGUAACCUGCCCUUAACUCUGGGAUAAGCCUGGGAAACUGGGUCUAAUACCGGAUAGGAGCGCCUACCGCAUGGUGGGUGUUGGAAAGAUUUAUCGGUUUUGGAUGGACUCGCGGCCUAUCAGCUUGUUGGUGAGGUAAUGGCUCACCAAGGCGACGACGGGUAGCCGGCCUGAGAGGGUGACCGGCCACACUGGGACUGAGACACGGCCCAGACUCCUACGGGAGGCAGCAGUGGGGAAUAUUGCACAAUGGGCGAAAGCCUGAUGCAGCGACGCCGCGUGAGGGAUGACGGCCUUCGGGUUGUAAACCUCUUCCAGUAGGGAAGAAGCGAAAGUGACGGUACCUGCAGAAGAAGCACCGGCUAACUACGUG